UUAAGUUCAGCGGGUAUCCCUACCUGAUCCGAGGUCAACCUUAAAAAAUUGGGGGUUCUGGCGAGCAACCGGAGGGACCCUAUAGCGAGGAGAUUUACUACGCUUAGAGCCCACCGGCACCGCCACUGAUUUUAGGGGCCGCGGAACCGCGAACCCCAAUACCAAGCCAGGCUUGAGUGGUUAUAAUGACGCUCGAACAG
rnacentral:misc_RNA from 1 species